rnacentral:rRNA from 1 species
GACGAACGCUGGCGGCGUGCAUAACACAUGCAAGUCAAGGGGGUCAGUAGCAAUACUGGCAACCGGCGAACGGGUGCGUAACACGUAAGCGACCUACCUCGAUGUGGGGCAUAGCCGGCCUAACGGCCGGGUAAUUCCGCAUGUGAUUCUGGAGAGGCAUCUCCCCGGAAUGAAACCAGUAAUGGGCAUUGAGAGGGGCUUGCGGCCUAUCAGCUUGUUGGNGAGGU